UGUUUUUGAUCUGCACUUCCUUUCCUGGGGGAGGAUAAAAGAAGGACGCUGCAGAUUUCUAAAGCACAAUUUAGGCCUAUUUUGCUCAGAAUCCAGUUUUAUUAUCUUUCAAAUAACAGGGCUAGAAGUAACUUUGCAUAAAAGCAAAACCUUUCAACAUGAGUGCAGGCGCACCGCUCUUCCUAAACCACACGUCAGACCCAUGUCUUCACUAGCCUAGCCGGAAGCAUGCAGGAUGCCCUGCUUGAAUGGAUUAUUCCUGACUUUAAUAAGGCACUGACCAAGGCAGCUGCCACCUCCAGAAUCAUAAUAAUUACCCUCUGUCUGCCCUUAGAGGAUAACAGCAAAAGAAAAAAGUUACAAACUUUUCCGAACCAAUGUGGUCAAAGCCAUAACUGACCAGAAAUCCAGCAGAACUUUUGGAAUGUAUACAGUCUUUCUUUCAUAUCCAAGAACUGUGUUUAAAAACUUGCACAUCAAGAGAGAAAAGAAGAAUACUCGUGCCAAACAUCUGGAUAAUCAAUCCUUUCUCCGACUCCUUCCUUGUUCUGCCUACGGCCACUCUGAGACUUUUGAGACAGCGUUCACCUAAUAGAACAGAACCUUUAUUCCACUGCUAGAGAAAUGAAAGUACUGUAAACUUAUUACAACAGUUAGGAAUAGAUUUCAAAAGACAACACAAAAACUCUAAGCAGAUUUAUUAAGAUGGUACAAAGUUGCUUCUAACGGGCUUGCUGUAUGGGAUAAAACCAAACUGCCCUUAAAGAAUCAGUCAACUCACACCCUGAAAGUACAUGAGCAGAAGAGGAAGAGAAUCAAAGUGGACCACACAACUUUUGGAGAAGUACACCUUUCACAACAAAAUGAUUGAAAGGCACCCAAGUUCAAUUUUCAGACAGCAACCAAGCACUUGAAAAAUCUUUACAGGAAACCCAUGGAAAUUACGAUCAGGGGAGUGCCAGCCCGGAUGAGAACCAAAGCUUAUAUCAAUUAAUUAGGAUGAUGUGGUCAAAUAUGACCCCUCCGGUGUGCCGUCUUGUUUGCUAUGGGGUACAUUGCACACCUUUUUAUACCAACCCUAUUCUCCCAGAUUCUAGCA
rnacentral:lncRNA from 1 species